rnacentral:rRNA from 1 species
AGAGUUUGAUCCUGGCUCAGGAUGAACGCUGGCGGCGUGCCUAAUACAUGCAAGUCGAGCGAACGUCAUAGAGGCUUGCUUCUAUGACGUUAGCGGCGGACGGGUGAGUAACACGUGGGCAACCUGCCUGUAAGACUGGGAUAACUUCGGGAAACCGAAGCUAAUACCGGAUAGGAUCUUCUCCUUCAUGGGAGAUGAUUGAAAGAUGGUUUCGGCUAUCACUUACAGAUGGGCCCGCGGUGCAUUAGCUAGUUGGUGAGGUAACGGCUCACCAAGGCAACGAUGCAUAGCCGACCUGAGAGGGUGAUCGGCCACACUGGGACUGAGACACGGCCCAGACUCCUACGGGAGGCAGCAGUAGGGAAUCUUCCGCAAUGGACGAAAGUCUGACGGAGCAACGCCGCGUGAGUGAUGAAGGCUGUCGGGUCGUAAAAUUCUGUUGUUAGGGAGGAACAAGUACGAGAGUAACUGCUCGCACCUUGACGGUACCUAACCAGAAAGCCACGGCUAACUACGUGCCAGCAGCCGCGGUAAUACGUAGGUGGCAAGCGUUAUCCGGAAUUAUUGGGCGUAAAGCGCGCGCAGGCGGUUUCUUAAGUCUGAUGUGAAAGCCCACGGCUCAACCGUGGAGGGUCAUUGGAAACUGGG